UUUCUUUUUUUUUUUAAUCGCUCGUUGGAUUUUCUGUUCGUAUUUUGUGCAGAACUCAUUAGUUCCUGGAAAUUUGGUUUGUUUUGAUUUCCAAAUCUUCCACUGAAUUGUCUGCUUGGGUUUGAUGGUGGCAGUUCAAGGUUAGUCAUGAAUUCCAAAGGCAAUGCUCUUUUAUUUCUUUCUCUUCUAUUGUUUUUCAAGGUUCUCUGCUCUUCUUUUGACAUUUCACUAGGUGCGAGGUUGUCGAGCUUUGGCCAAAUAAAAAAAGAAGCAAGAAUGUAUUUAGGAGUUUAUGUUUCUGCAUUGUGAGCGUAGGUUUUUGGUAAUUAAUUCUAUUGUGGCUUGCUUCUUUUGAUUUAUAAUUUUGACUGGAUAUCCUAAUGAAGUGUCUGCCUUUUCAUUUAUUAGGCAUUUUUGUUGGCUGUAUAAUUUAUAUUGGAGAAUCUACUUGUUUCUCUUCAUAGUGUAUCUUCUAACUUGUUCUAUUGGAUCCCUGACACGACAGCAGAACUCAUGUUUGAAAAAUACAAAGUCCCUGCAUUAUUUUUAGCCAAGAAUGCUGUUCUAACGUCUUUUGCAUCUGGUCGUGCUACCUCUUUGGUUGUUGAUAGUCCAUCGUUCCAGAGGUUUGCAGUGAUGACUUCCAAAACAAUAGAAGACAUUUCUAACUAGGCUCUAAAGAAAAGACGAGAAUUAACUGAGCAGUUGAAGGAUUUGUCUAGCAACAUUGAGGUAAAUUAGGACUGUCCCUUCCCAUUUUUGCCCUGAAGAAUGAUAUGUUACUUCCAAGACUAAGUUAAUGGUAUACUAUAUUUUUCAAUUUGUACAAGUGGGACUGUGCUUUAGUUACAUUGGAUUGAUGGAUCUUGGGACACAGAUGCAACAACCAAGUGGCUGUCCACCCUCCUAAUUGGGCAAACUGAGAAACUCUUAAGCACU